UACAGAGGUGGCAAGCGUUGUUCGGAAUUACUGGGCGUAAAGCGCGUGUAGGCGGCUCUUCAAGUCAGGCGUGAAAGCCCCGGGCUCAACUCGGGAACUGCGCUUGAUACUGUCGAGCUAGAGUGUGGAAGGGGCGAUUGGGAUUCCGUGUGUAGAGGUGAAAUUCGUAGAUAUUCGGAAGAACACCAGUGGCGAAGGCGACUCGCUGGACAAGUAUUGACGCUGAGGUGCGAAAGCGUGGGGAGCAAACAGGAUUAGAAACCCUGGUAGU
rnacentral:rRNA from 1 species